UACGUAGGGGGCAAGCGUUGUCCGGAUUUAUUGGGCGUAAAGAGCGUGUAGGCGGCUUUACAGGUCCGUUGUGAAAACUCGAGGCUCAACCUCGAGACGCCGGUGGAAACCGUAAAGCUAGAGUCCGGAAGAGGAGAGUGGAAUUCCUGGUGCAGCGGUGAAAUGCGCAGAUAUCAGGAGGAACACCCGUGGCGAAAGCGGCUCUCUGGGACGGUACUGACGCUGAGACGCGAAAGCGUGGGGAGCGAACAGG
rnacentral:rRNA from 1 species